rnacentral:rRNA from 1 species
GAUGAACGCUGGCGGCGUGCCUAAUACAUGCAAGUCGAGCGAACAGAUGAGGAGCUUGCUCCUCUGACGUUAGCGGCGGACGGGUGAGUAACACGUGGAUAACCUACCUAUAAGACUGGGAUAACUUCGGGAAACCGGAGCUAAUACCGGAUAAUAUAUUGAACCGCAUGGUUCAAUAGUGAAAGACGGUUUCGCUGUCACUUAUAGAUGGAUCCGCGCCGCAUUAGCUAGUUGGUAAGGUAACGGCUUACCAAGGCAACGAUGCGUAGCCGACCUGAGAGGGUGAUCGGCCACACUGGAACUGAGACACGGUCCAGACUCCUACGGGAGGCAGCAGUAGGGAAUCUUCCGCAAUGGGCGAAAGCCUGACGGAGCAACGCCGCGUGAGUGAUGAAGGUCUUCGGAUCGUAAAACUCUGUUAUUAGGGAAGAACAAAUGUGUAAGUAACUAUGCACGUCUGGACGGUACCUAAUCAGAAAGCCACGGCUAACUACGU